GGGGAAGGGUGGUAGCUCAGCGGCAGAGCAUCUGCUUUGCAUGCAAAAGGUCCCAGAUUCAAUCCCCAGCAUCCCCA